UUGACAAAACGUUGCUAGAGAUAGUAUAUUACAACGGUUCCAACCGUUGCCAAAAGGUUUUGGUGCUACCAAUACGGUUUACUAAUCAAACCGUUGCCACUAUACAAAAACCGUUGCUGUAGGUACAUCUAUUGCAACAGUUAUAUCAAACAUUGCUAUUAAUGUUAUCUGUGGCAACAAUUCAUGAAAUUUUUAUCUAUUGGGACGGUUUUAAUUCCCUCUACACAUUCCCUGCUCUAAUUUUUGUUGAACCCGCCAAAAUCCUUUUAUGAUUAUUUUCUUUUUACUUUUGUUUCAUUUCAUAGAUUUAUAUGACAUAAAAUAAAAAUGAUGUUUCUUCUAAUCAUCUAAACCAAAUUUCUUUUCUCCGUCAAAGCCCUCACUUUGCCACCGUCCUUUCUCACUCAUCUUCUUUGAUGAAGUAACUUUUCACCUUCUCUGUUUAUUUAUAUUAUUGUUUGGUUCAAUUAAAUUCUAGGGCUGAAGUUGCUGAAUGGUUCAAAGAAGUGAUUUUCUAAGAAAUCUAAGAAGACUUUGUUGAGAAAUCAUUAGCUGAAGAAAUUGUAAUAUAUGACUUACUUGAGAAGUCAUCAAGUGACUUGUAGUACAGAGAGGAACAAGAGCAAGGAAUAAUGGUUCCUGGCCUUAGAUGUAUCAAGGUUUGUCCCGUGGUUAUCUUUUAAUACUUUAUCUUCCUCAUGGACUGCUACAUUUUAGAUCAUUGGACUUAGCAUCUGCAGCCCAUCUUCUCUUUUUUGUUCAUUUAAAUUUGGGGAACAGCAGGCGAAAAACAGAUAGUACAGAGGUCAAUAAAAAUUCAUCACGGAAGGAAGACUUAGACACAGACUUCUUACAUCCUCUAUAGUUCAUAAAAAGUGAAGCUUACCAUCGUUUAUCAGACAUGAAUCACAUACAAAGACUACAGCUAAAAGAAAUUGGGGUGGUUCUUGAUAGUUCUGCCUUUUGUUAUAAAUAUCCGAGGAAUCUUUAACUAGCUCAAUUUCUUGAUCAUGUCACCUUGUUAAUGGCAUGGAAAUACUGAUAUUUUCUAAGCAGCUAAAGAACACAAUAGCAUUGGCUACAAGCUGUAAGUUCUCUUUUUGCUUUAUUUCAUCCUAAAUAGCAGUAUAUCUCUUGAUUUUUAUUUUAGCUCAUUUGGUCAAGCUGAUGUGAUUUUGUCUCUUGUUCUUCUUCCUGUUAUGAAUAAUAGUUGUGUCAUGGAAAAUUAAAUAGUGCCUUUCAUAGAAUCUUUUUUAAAAUUUAGAUAUGUACUUCUGGGUCUAGCAUUAUGUAGCAUAUAACUUUUUGCAUGAAUGUGGUUAGAGUUGUUCAUGUUCACAAACCAUGUUGGGUUAGGUGCUCUUUGUUUUUUGCCUGAAUAUUGGCAAUGAUACAAUUAGAGGUGUAGCCUAUCAAUAUUAGGUAUAAAAGGAAGACAUUGCACUAUGUAAUUCCUAAUGAGAAUGCUAAAAGUAUAAUUGAAAAUCGUAUUUUGUUGUCUCAUCUCACUCAUUGCCUUCUUAGCUGUUCAAAUGAUUUCCUGUCAACUGCUUUAGUUGCAUUUCGGACGGAGUUGGGAACUUAUUGCACUAAAAGAUAUUUAAAAUUUAGAGAGGAUGACAUAAAUUAUAUGCUCAAUAAAGUUCUAUAUAAUGUAAUCCUGUAAACUUUAAGGUUUUGGAUUUGCUUUUGUCAAUUGCGGCAGUAAAAUAUUUGUUGUGUUUUUGUCAUGGUUGUUAAGUACUGUUGAGUGUUGAUAAAAUAUUGCAGGAAUCUUUAUGUCUUUCUUGAUCACAAGUAAUAGUAGUGGAAAUUCAUGCAUACAUUAAAUGAUUCUCUCUUAUGUUUACUCUAUUUUCAUACAUUGAAGAAGAAUUGACUUUGUUGUGAAGGGAAACUAGAUAGCAACAUAAGAAGUAAAGAUCUACUUGUCAAAAGACAUAUGAAAUUUUGGAAAAAAUUCCAUGUGCAGGCAAAUCAAUUGGUGAAGAUCUUGACAUGGUAGAAUUAGGUGGGUUAUGUAGUUUGUAUGGUGUUGAUUUAUUAGACAAUUUGAAUGUAGAAUGAAUACUUUCUCUCUUAAUUGAAAUCUUAUUUGAAAAUUGCUGAACAAGUCAAAUUGGUAUGUCUGUUAGAGGCAUAAAGUUUCAUGGUUAUUCUAUAACUUUAUACUGCUUCAAGCAAGUUGCAAAAAAUUAAUAAUGCCAAGGUGCAAUAGAGAUUAUAACUGGUGUUUGGCUUUCUUUACAAAGAAGAACUUCUGCAAGUGUUUGGCAGACCUACUUUGGUUAAGGUGUCAUACUCUUUUCAUGAUGGACUUUGCUUCUUUCUAUUAAUCUUAUAUCUUGUUGCAGGUAUGACCAGUUGUUUUUUCCUUUUAUAAGCAUCAGUCUCUCCCUCUUUAGAUAGUACCAACUUCUUGUUGCUUGUAGUAUUAUCCACAAAUUCUUGUACUAGAUUUUCAAAGGUAUUUUUUUCUGUGCCAUUUACACCAUGAUAUUGCCUAGUAUUAUUUCCACUCUCAACAGUUUGUUUCCUUUUCCCAUUCAAGAUUUGACGCAGAUCACCUUUAAUUUAACUCUUUAUUUUGGUUAAUAACUUUUUUUAUCGUCUUUUGCAGGUGGAGAAAAUGAAGAAGAGAAAGAUGAACGCAUUGAAGAUCUUACUUGAGAAAAUUGGUUGAAAGUUGUAGAAACUUCAAAUAUUCUAGCUCUAAUAUUUUGUUUUCCAACAUAUUGGGACUUGUUUUGUUUUCUAACAUUUUGAAACAUGUGCUAACUCUUGAAAACAAUUUUUGUAUAUUUUGUUUCUAUAGAUAUUAUGAGCUAUGAUUCCGCUUAUUAAUUGUUUCAACUUUCGAGAUUAUUUUAUUUGGUGGGUAACAACGUUGUUCCAAAUAAUUGCACUGGAUUUUUGUACAAAAAAAAAGAUCGUUGCAAUAGACAAAAACCAUUGCAAUAAAGGAAAAGCCUGUUGCAAUAACCUCUACGAAACCGUUGCAAUAGCCUCAAAAGUCGUUGCUUAAAGGGCUAUGGGGACGGUUGGAAACCGUUCCAAAUAACACAAAACAUCGUUGCAUCAGAAAGAAGAACAACCGUUGCUGUAGAUAUGGCUAUGGCAACGUGUUU